rnacentral:rRNA from 1 species
AUGCCAGCAGCCGCGGUAAUACCGGCAGCCCGAGUGAUGGCCGAUCUUAUUGGGCCUAAAGCGUCCGUAGCUGGCCGCACAAGUCCGUCGGGAAAUCCGCCCGCUUAACGGGCGGCCGUCCGGCGGAACCUGCGUGGCUUGGGACCGGAAGGCGCGACGGGUACGUCCGGGGUAGGAGUGAAAUCCCGUAAUCCUGGACGGACCGCCGAUGGCGAAAGCACGUCGCGAAGACGGAUCCGACAGUGAGGGACGAAAGCUAGGGUCUCGAACCGGAUUAGAUACCCUGGUAGUCC